rnacentral:rRNA from 1 species
AACUGAAACAUCUCAGUACCCCGAGGAAAAGAAAUCAACCGAGAUUCCCCCAGUAGCGGCGAGCGAACGGGGAGCAGCCCAGAGUCAACAUCAAUAUUUACCACAGGAGAAGGGUCUGGAAAGGCCGGCAAUAAAGGGUGAUAGCCCCGUAUCUGAAACGGUAAGUGUUGUGAACUCGAAGAGUAGGGCGGGACACGUGUUAUCCUGUCUGAAUAUGGGGGGACCAUCCUCCAAGGCUAAAUACUCCUGACUGACCGAUAGUGAACCAGUACCGUGAGGGAAAGGCGAAAAGAACCCCGGCGAGGGGAGUGAAAUAGAACCUGAAACCGUGUACGUUCAAACAAUGGGAGCACCCGAAAGGGUGUGACUGCGUACCUUUUGUAUAAUGGGUCACCGACUUAUAUUCUGUAACAAGGUUAACCGGAUAGGGGAGCCGUAGGGAAACCGAGUCUUAACUGGGAGUUAAGUUGCAGGGUAUAGACCCGAAACCCGGUGAUCUAGCCAUGGGCAAGUUGAAGGUUGGGUAACACUAACUGGAGGACCAUAACCAGGGGAAUCGGGGGAAAC